AUUGAACGCUGGCGGCAUGCCUAACACAUGCAAGUCGAACGGUAACAGGUCCUUCGGGAUGCUGACGAGUGGCGGACGGGUGCGUAACGCGUGGGAAUCUGCCCAAUAGUGGGGGAUAACCCGGGGAAACUCGGGCUAAUACCGCAUACUCCCUACGGGGGAAAGCGGGGGACCGCAAGGCCUCGCGCUAUUGGAUGAGCCCGCGUCCGAUUAGCUUGUUGGUGGGGUAAAAGCCUACCAAGGCGACGAUCGGUAGCUGGUCUGAGAGGACGACCAGCCACACUGGGACUGAGACACGGCCCAGACUCCUACGGGAGGCAGCAGUGGGGAAUAUUGGACAAUGGGGGAAACCCUGAUCCAGCAAUGCCGCGUGUGUGAAGAAGGCCUGCGGGUUGUAAAGCACUUUCGGCAGGAAAGAAAAGUCAUGCGCCAAUACCGCAUGUCCUUGACGUUACCUGCAAAAGAAGCACCGGCUAACUCCGUG
rnacentral:rRNA from 1 species